UACGUAGGGUGCGAGCGUUAAUCGGAAUUACUGGGCGUAAAGCGUGCGCAGGCGGUUUUGUAAGCCAGAUGUGAAAUCCCCGGGCUUAACCUGGGAAUGGCAUUUGGGACUGCAAGGCUCGAGUGCGGCAGAGGAGACUGGAAUUCCUGGUGUAGCAGUGAAAUGCGUAGAUAUCAGGAGGAACACCGAUGGCGAAGGCAGGUCGCUGGGACGGUACUGACGCUGAGGCGCGAAAGCGUGGGGAGCAAACAGG
rnacentral:rRNA from 1 species